UCCGCCUCCGGAAGAACUUCCAUGAUUAUGUUGUCUAUUUCCUGAGUAUCCGUAUCCUCUUCCUCUUCUAUCUUGGUUGUAUCUACCCUCAUGGUGGCUGUUAUGGCUCGAUGACGAGUAUGUCUGGUGCUUUUGUUGGAAGUUAGAUGAUAUCUGUCUCUGACUAACUUGUUUGGGAUGUUGGGUAGUAUUUUGGCCUUGGUGUUGUUGCUGGUGUUGUUGUUGCUGCUGGUGUUGGUGUUGUUGCUGGUGUUGGUGUUGUUGUUGCUGGUGAUGUUGUUGAUGAUGUUGCUGAUGAUGUUGUUGUUGAUGAUGUUGUUGAUGAUGUUGUUGUUGUUGGUGUUGGUGGUGUUGUUGUUGUUGGUGUUGUUGGUGUUGUUGUUGUUGUUGUUGGUGUUGUUGCUGAUGAUGUUGUUGUUGCUGACGUUGUUGUUGGUGAUUCUGUUGUUGAUGAUGGCUUGGCUGUAUCUUUUCUGGUUUAUUAUUCUUUGCAUGGCUGGGUUUAGAAUUGUCAUCAUUUCCUGUAAUAUAAGUGCUAUUAUUAUUAGUAACAUUAGAGUGUUGUCCCUUAUCGGAGUUGUCUCUAUGAGUACUAUAAUAUUGGUCUUUAAC
rnacentral:antisense_RNA from 1 species